UACGUAGGGUGCGAGCGUUAAUCGGAAUUACUGGGCGUAAAGCGUGCGCAGGCGGUUCUGAAAGUCAGCUGUGAAAGCCCCGGGCUUAACCUGGGAAUUGCGGUUGAAACUACAGGGCUAGAAUCUGGCAGAGGGGGGUGGAAUCCGACGGUGUAGCAGUGAAAUGCGUAGAGAUGUGGAGGAACACCCGAGGCGAAGGCGGCGUCUCUGGGUCGUACCUGACGUGAGGCACGAAAGCGUGG
rnacentral:rRNA from 1 species